rnacentral:rRNA from 1 species
GAUGAACGCUGGCGGCGUGCUUAACACAUGCAAGUCGAACGUGAACCAGCAGCAAUGUUGGGGAAAGUGGCGGACGGGUGAGUAACACGUGGGUGACCUGCCUUGCAGCGGGGGAUAACGAGGGGAAACCUUCGCUAAUACCGCAUAGGCUUACACUGAUGGGAAUGGUGUGGGUAAAACUUUGGUGCUGCAAGAGGGGCCUGCGUCCGAUUAGCUAGUUGGUGAGGUAAAGGCUCACCAAGGCGAUGAUCGGUAGCUGGUCUGAGAGGACGAUCAGCCACACGGGAACUGAGAAACGGUCCCGACUCCUACGGGGGGCAGCAGUGAUGAAUAUUGGGCAAUGGGCUAACGCCUGACCCAGCAACGCCGCGUGGAGGAUGUAAGGUUUUUGGAUUGUAAACUUCCUUUUGGUGGGGAAGAGUGAGGACCGGUACCCCAAGAAUAAGUCAC